rnacentral:rRNA from 1 species
AGAUUGAACGCUGGCGGCAUGCCUUACACAUGCAAGUCGAACGGCAGCACGGGGGCAACCCUGGUGGCGAGUGGCGAACGGGUGAGUAAUGCAUCGGAACGUGCCCAGUAGUGGGGGAUAACUAGUCGAAAGAUUAGCUAAUACCGCAUACGACCUACGGGUGAAAGCGGGGGAUUCGCAAGAACCUCGCGCUAUCGGAGCGGCCGAUGUCUGAUUAGCUAGUUGGACGGGUAAAAGCCCACCGAAGGCUUCGAUCAGUAGCUGGUCUGAGAGGACGACCAGCCACACGUGGGACUGACGACACGGCCCAGACCUCGUACGGGAGCAGCGAGGU